GAGGAGGCGGGAGAUCAGGGGCCGAGAACCGGGCACUCCGACUCUGAAAGGUCAAGUUAGUGAGAAGGAAUCCGCAAAGGAAACUGGAAAACCCGAGGCUAGGGAGGUUGCUUAAAGAAGUGAUGUCUGCGCUCAGAGUGCCUGACUCUUUGCCUCCCAGUUACACACAGUCUGGUAUCUGUCCCCACAGCUCCUUGAAAACGGCUGAAACUAUUCUGGCAAAGGCCUGCAUGACACCCCAUUCUCCUGGGUUACCUCCUACUUCAAUGGCUAUUCCUUCUUAAUAUCUUGGGUAACUGCUUCUCCUCUGCUUAACAUCAGAAUGUUGAGAGAAUCCAAACUUCACCCUCGACCUGGAUCUCCCCCUGGGCCAUCUCCCCCAUUGUGUUAAAUUCCAUCUACGGGCUGCUGGCUUCCAGAUUUUUAUCUGAAUCUGACCUCUCCCUUGGGCUUCAGAUGCAUAUAUCCCAUUGCCUCAUCACUCACAGGGAUGUUUAAUAAAUAUCUCAAACUUAAUGUGGUCAAAACAGGACUCCUGAUUUCCAGCUCCAGAU